CCGAGUUAGGGUUUCGUCCGACGAGCCCGACCUCCCAACCCUUUGUCUAUUAUACCUUGUCGUUGCUUCGGCGGACCGGUCGCGACCAACUGGUCGUGACCGCCGGGGGCCCGCCCCUGGAGAGCGUCCGCCGAUGGCCCAACCACAAAACUCUUGUACCAAACCAUGUCGUCUGAAUUACUUGAUUAAAAUCAAAAACA
rnacentral:misc_RNA from 1 species